rnacentral:rRNA from 1 species
UGGCGGACGGGUGGAGUAACGCGUGAGGAACCUGCCUUGGAGUGGGGAAGUAACAGUUAGAAAUAGCUGCUAAUACCGCAUAAGCGCACAGGGCCGCAUGGCCCGGUGUGAAAAACUCCGGUGGUGUAAGAUGGACCCGCGUCUGAUUAGCUUGUUGGCGGGGUAGGGGCCCACCAAGGCGACGAUCAGUAGCCGGCCUGAGAGGGUGGACGGCCACAUUGGGACUGAGACACGGCCCAAACUCCUACGGAAGGCAGCAG